GCAAGUCGAGUGCCUCACUUCGGUGAGGAGCGGCGGACGGGUGAGUAACACGUGGGUAACCUGCCCUGGAGCUCGGAAUAACUUCGCGAAAGUGGAGCUAAUGCCGAAUAAGCCCCCAAUACGAAAGUAUAGAGGGAAAAGAUUUAUCACUCCAGGAUGGGCCCGCGUCCCAUCAGCUAGUUGGCGGUGUAAGAGACCACCAAGGCGACGACGGGUAGCUGGUCUGAGAGGACGAUC
rnacentral:rRNA from 1 species